CAGCUCAUUAGUUCCUCCUCUCUGGUGGAAGCUGCCUUCAGGCUAAACUAACCAGGAAGGAGGAACUCUUCUGUUGUGACGAAAAAUCUGCCGACUCUUCGGUGAAACAGUUUUAAAGUCUGACGACGAAUCUGUUCGUCUUCGGUUCAGUUCGGAUGAAGACACGGUGACGCAGGAGAAGUGAUUAACGUCUACUUUGGGGUCAAAGGUCGAGGUCGACGUCUUCACCGUUAAAUGAGCUCUGUUCUAAAAAACGUAUAGAUUUUAGUUCAAAUCUGUGAAAGACUUAAAGACGGUGAAGGUGUUUGACCUCGGCCACAGAUCCGACACUUCCACAGACCGCCGCUCUGAAUGGCUCCUCGACAGCUUUUUAACGCUUUCUUCUUUCUCUCUUCUCGGCUCGCUGCUUGAGUUUCAUCAGAUCUGAUGGUUUCUGCCUAACGCUUGUCCAGAACUUGUCCCCUUCCUUCCUCUCUUCCUCUCUUCCUUCCUUCCCUCCUUCCUUCCUUCUGCUUAGGCUGGUCUGUGGGAAAUAAAGUGAACCUGAGAAGCUGCUGGGUACCUGUGACCGAAACCUUUCAGUAAAGUUUUGAGCUUCAAGCUUCAGUUUGAACUGUUUUGAUGAAAACACCUCGUCACCCAGCAGCUUCUCUCUCAGGUGCUUUCAGAAAACCUGUGUCUGAACGAUGCUGACUCGUGUUUCUGUCCGUCUGUCUGACUGUUCGACUCCUGACACAGGAUUUAACUCGUACACUGGAAACUCGGCAGGAGUUGUAGGAUCGGGAGAAGUCUACAAGGACCCGCGAGACAAAUGGACAAAGAGUCAGGAGCAGGAGAACUCGAACCCUGGCAAUCCGGAGAGUUUGACCUUCAAGGAGCGUCAGCGCCUCUUCUCUCAGGGGAAGGAAGUUUCCAACAAGGUCAAGGCGUCGCGCAAACUCAUGGAGCUGGAGAACGAGCUCAACACCAAGUAGACCCCCCCCCCACCCCCUCGCCUCCCAGCGCCACCUUAACACCAGCGUCACCACGGUAACGUUAAGGUGCUCCUGGGACGACAAAAAGAAAAAAAAAGAGCGUCUCCUCUCGUUUGUUUCCCCCGUUUUUACUUUUUUUAUUUUAAUCAUCAAAUAACUGGACCGUUCACUUUUCUCGACGUAGCUAUAUCGUUGCAAUAGAAGAGACAUUUAUGGCUUAAAAAUUUUCCUCCCCUCAUUACGUCAAAGAUGUAUAAUGAUGAAGCACUGUAAAAAAGUUUUAAUUUUAUCUGGUGAGAAUUUGAGAAUCACACGACAAAGGGGGAUAUAUUUUUGUUUGUAAAAUGGUUUUUGGGGCCGAGGGACAAAUGUUUAUUCUCAUUUUAACUUUUGUUUUUUUAAAUAGCUAACUGAAACAUGAACAAUUUUAUGGUAUUAUUUUAUGCUCUUUUUUUCUGCAUCACGUUGUUUUCACACUUUUAAUUCCUCCUCUUCAUUAUUAUUAUUAUAAUUUUUUUAUUUUCUUGUUUUUUGAAAGAUUAAAUUCUCAGUGAGUGGAAACACUGUUAUUUCAUUCCGUAGCGAGAAAGCAUGGGAUUUCUUUUUGUGAUGUUUUAGAUAAAACUCUUGACGGAUUCUCCAGAGAAGGAUCUUAAAGUGCACAACAUUACUGUAAAUAUUCGGGUCCACGACUGUCUCACUCUUUUACUACUGUAAGAACCUGCCAGGCUUCUAAAAAAAACUGCGGAACUGAUGUGAUUCAACAGCGUUUGGUGACAGAAAAUCCAACAGGAAGUUCAGCCAGACUCUGGACGGUCUCCCUGCUGCUGGAGUUCAAUUUUUUUUUUUUUUUUUAAUGUUUCGCCCCGAGCCUGAGGUGACUGUAAUUUUAUUUUAUUUUAAAAUCAUUUCUUUCUUGCAGAGUUGUGUGAAAUUAAUUGGACUGAUGACAAAUUCAAGCCAGAAACAGGAACUCACUUUCACUCACAAUGUGAUUCAUGUUGGUUUUCACGAUAAUAAAAAAACCCCAGAAACAAACAAACAAACGCUCUUUAAGUCUUUGCUCCUUUUGCUUUACAGAUAUUUAUUUCAAACUCCGGGGGGGGGGGGGGAACUCGCACAAAAACUUGCUUUAACUAUUAAAUGUGUUUCUGAGACGUGGAUCACACUCGUACGUCUGAAAAGUUGUUUUCACGCCAGUCGGAGGAGUUCUGGAUGUUUCGUGUUUAAGUUGUGAUUGUGACAAAUAUACAGACGCAAAACCUCCACAGUCAUAUUCACCAACACCACCACCGCCGCUGCUGCUGCGCUGAUGUAGAAAAGAAACGCACCACAAACCCCAAUGUGAGUCCAACAGUUAAAACCAAACGUGAAAUCUCCUCUGCAGUUUCUCCGAGUGACUCCACCCGCGUGUGGAUUUAUUUUAACUCUCUCUCUCCAGGAGCCUCAGAGAAAAUAAGUGACCUGUAAAAACACAAGACAUCUGUCUCCUCCCCCCCCCGACAACUACAACGACUCCUUUCUAGGUUUCAAAAUGAACUGAAUCAUUGAGAUGGUUUCAUGUUUAGCCUUUUGUAAAUCAUUAAUAAAUACAGAUUUUUCAACAGUG